ensembl:lncRNA
AUCUCUUCAGCAGUAUGUGAAUACCUGUCAAUCACCCUUGAGGGAACACAAGGGCUGGAAUUUACACGUCAGUGCUGUGGUUGCUGCUGUCACAUUUCCCCUUGGAAACCUCCGCCGAGGACUUUCCCCUCAGCGAGUACAUAUACACCAGCAUCACAGCAUGUCCAGCAUCACCUAUCAGCCUUCCCAUCUUGAAGAACACUUACGCAUCAGGAUCUGAGGACUCCAUCUGCAGCCUGAAGACAUGGCAAAGAUUACAGUCUCUCUCUGCGCACUGCUGGGGCUUCUGCUGGUCUUAGCUUCCGAGGGGGAAACCAGAGUAGGUACACCAAGCAGGGGAUGCUGCACACGAUUCAUCAAGGAUCUGCCUUUGAACAGAAUCCGUGGUUUCAUCGAGGAACGCCAAGGGAUAUGUCGUCUCAAAGCAGUCAAGUUCAUCACCGUAAAGGGUAAGGUUGUAUGUGCCAAUCCAAAUGACCAGUGGGUUAAGGAUGCCAAGGAGUUCAUCAGGACCCCAACUGUGGCACCCUAACCUGAGGACACCUGUGGUGUUAAUCGGAAACUAUCUUUCUGCAUCCAAGGGAUGCUUUUGAUAACUCAAAAGAGCUUUGCUCUAUUUGUGUCCCUUGAUGGGCUUUGUAAGGGA